AUCCAACCUCCUCAGGGCUUUUGUAACUGUUGCCAUUGAAAAAAGAACCACCCCUGAUUUUGGAAAAUGAACUUUCUCAAAUAACGAAAACAGCCGUUGAAAGGGAGACCAGGACACGUGAAAUAUGGCUGAAUGAGAAACUCAUCAUCGCAUGCUCUGAGCCAUCAGGAAGUGAACCUCAAAUUGGGAUCUGAGUGUCUUGGUUGGUACAAGGACCUGUGAAAAACUGUAUCUUGAAGAUGCAGAAAGGUCAGACUAUGGGUUUCCACUGCAGGACUAGCAACUAACUGGCAUUUGUGUGCUGGUGGUCCCUGCCCUGUGGACAUACAGUUAAAAAGCUCCAGAGGAGUUGUUGUUCCUUGUGCAAAGAGAAGACCUUUCCUUUGGCUCAGAGCUGGCAUCAUUGCAUCAGUUGAGUGGUUACUUGGAUUGGAAGAUGGUAAAAGCAAUUGCUGCUGGGCUUUUUUUGUACAGCAGAAAGAGGUCGCAAUCUUCCCUGUGGACUGUGGUGGUUAUUCCCCCAAACUUAUGCCUUUUGCCAGCUUGGUGAUAGAACUUCAGGGUUUCAGUGGAGCAGGUGUCAAAGCACACAGCCAAGGAAUGGAGCUGAAGGCAUAAUUCUUAGUCUGAGACGUUAACUAUGGGCACAGUUGUAAUCUGAGAAAAUCAUGAAUGUCACCAAUGCAUUCUGGUAAAGUGAUAGCUAUAAAAUGAAAGAUUUAAAGGAAGCAAUCAUAAUGGUUAACAGCAGUAUGAAAAAGCUUAAACAUGUUCAUAAAUUUCAAUAACUGCUGAGCAAUAUACUGGAUUCAUCUAGGAGAGAUUUAAUUUGAAAAAUGCUAAAUAGGAGGAACAGACUGGAAACAGACAUUCCUCCUGAAGAUGAAGCCUUUUGGUGAGAAAUUUACAUUGCACUUCAGCUGAAGCGAUACUAAAUAACCCCAGCCCACCUCAAACGAGCACUGGAACAACUUCUGCUCUGAAUGCUCUGCUGUUGUUCUGAGCUGGGAGGCUUGAACUGAAGAAAAGCUGAGCACCAAGCGCUCAAGUUCAAAUUACUGCUUGGCAGGAAAUUUUCUUCUUGACAUCUAGCAUCUAGCUGAAGAAACGAGAAUAAUGUCAGUGUUGUGCGGCUUUCAACUCCAUUGGCUUCACAGGGAUGUGUUCUGCUCUCAGAGGGCUUAGAGUUGCUGCUGUGAGCUCUGUGUGUGUCCAGGUGAGGAUGGCCCCAGCCUGUGACUGACUUGGGGACAGCUGACAACAGCAUCUGAUAAUGUUGCAGAAGGCUUCCAGUGUUUCUCUAUGUUGCAGAAUCAUGGAGCUGGAAGAAAACUUGUCCACUGCUUUGUCAGAUGUUCAGAUAUCAUCUACCUGAUUCUGGGAAAUUAGGAACAGUGAAGCCGAGGUGUCUGCUUGAAUGCAAAGACUUCAUUUCUAAACUGCUCUUAAAUACUUCCUUUACAGGUGGUAAGCAAGUCCUGAUCCUGCACUAAAUGAUGCUUCAACAGACCUUCCUGCUGCUGAGUUCCAGGAUUUCCAAGGGCACAGUCAUUCAAAUAAAAGGAGGCUCUUCUGCUUUGGUUUUGUGGGGAUCAGCAGCUUGACUGUUCUCACUGCUCACCAUCUGACUGGUUGGUUACUGCCUUUAGGUGAGUUAAUAUCUGCUGUUCAUCACCGGUCUGCUAAAAGGGGCUGCAGUGCAGCAGAGUAACUCCUGUUGAUUGAAAUCACGAGGCCUUGGGGUGAUCCUUGUGCAGGGCGUAACAGUGAGUUAGAGAUGUGUACUCCUAAGAUAAGAGAUUGCUUCUGCAGAGACCCCUCACUGGUGCUGAAAUAUAAAGGCCAUUCCUUAGC
ensembl:lncRNA